GACGAACGCUGGCGGCGUGCUUAACACAUGCAAGUCGAACGGAAAGGCCCUGCUUUUGUGGGGUGCUCGAGUGGCGAACGGGUGAGUAACACGUGAGUAACCUGCCCUUGACUUUGGGAUAACUUCAGGAAACUGGGGCUAAUACCGGAUAGGAGCUCCUGCUGCAUGGUGGGGGUUGGAAAGUUUCGGCGGUUGGGGAUGGACUCGCGGCUUAUCAGCUUGUUGGUGGGGUAGUGGCUUACCAAGGCUUUGACGGGUAGCCGGCCUGAGAGGGUGACCGGCCACAUGGGGACUGAGAUACGGCCCAGACGCCUACGGGAGGCAGCAGUGGGGAAUAUUGCACAAUGGGCGGGAGCCUGAUGCAGCAACGCCGCGUGCGGGAUGACGGCCUUCGGGUUGUAAACCGCUUUCGCCUGUGACGAAGCGUGAGUGACGGUAAUGGGUAAAGAAGCACCGGCUAACUACG
rnacentral:rRNA from 1 species